GUUUGAUCAUGGCUCAGGACGAACGCUGGCGGCGUGCUUAACACAUGCAAGUGGAGCGACGAACCGGGCUUCGGCGCGCAAAGCCGCGAACGGGUGAGUAUCACGUGGGAUAACCUGCCCCGAUGACCGGGACAACCCGAGGAAACUCGGCUAAUACCGGAUGUGCCCCUCACACACCAGUGUGAGGAGGAAAGGAAGCUUCGGCCUCCGCAUCGGGACGGGCCCGCGGCAUUAGCUUGUUGGUGAGGUAAAGGCUCACCAAGGCCACGAUGGGUAGCUGGUCUGAGAGGACGAUCAGCCACACUGGGACUGAGACACGGCCCAGACUCCUACGGGAGGCAGCAGUGGGGAAUCUUGCGCAAUGCGAAUAGCUGACGCAGCAACGCCGCGUGAGGGAAGAAGGCCUUCGGGUUGUAAACCUCUUUCAGGAGGGACGAAGGUUCAGGCGCGAAUAGGUCCUGGACUGACGGUACCUCCAGAAGAAGCCCGGCUAACUACGUGCAGCAGCCGCGGUAAUACGUAGGGGGCUAGCGUUGUCCGGAAUCAUUGGCGUAAGCGCGCGUAGGCGCCCGGUAAGUCCGCUGUAAAGUCAAGGCUCAACCUU
rnacentral:rRNA from 1 species